rnacentral:rRNA from 1 species
GACGAACGCUGGCGGCGCGCCUAACACAUGCAAGUCGAACGGAGCUUAGAGAGCUUGCUUUUUAAGCUUAGUGGCGAACGGGUGAGUAACGCGUGAGUAACCUGCCCUAGAGUGGGGGACAACAGUUGGAAACGACUGCUAAUACCGCAUAAGCCCACGGUACCGCAUGGUACUGAGGGAAAAGGAUUUAUUCGCUUUAGGAUGGACUCGCGUCCAAUUAGCUAGUUGGUGAGGUAACGGCCCACCAAGGCGACGAUUGGUAGCCGGACUGAGAGGUUGAACGGCCACAUUGGGACUGAGACACGGCCCAGACUCCUACGGGAGGCAGCAGUGGGGGAUAUUGCACAAUGGGGGAAACCCUGAUGCAGCGACGCCGCGUGGAGGAAGAAGGUUUUCGGAUUGUAAACUCCUGUC